CCUUCCCUGUCCUUGAAUCAGGGCUGGCCUUAGUGACUUGCUCAUAACCAACAGAAAUACAGCAGGAGUGACACUGCUGACAUCCGAGAAGCGUGGUAAAAUGCAAUCCAGCUCUCACCUUGCUUCUUUGGACACCUGACCAUCUAAGAUUUGUGACUUCUCCAGGAGGUCACACUCUAGGAAAGCCCGGGCUGCAUGGAGAAGUCACUGUCUGCACUCUGGUUGACGGUCCCCGCUGAGGUCCCAGUCACCAGCACCAACCGCCAGCGUCCAAGGGCUCCAGCCAGCACACCCAGUCCAGUGGAGUCUUCAGACCCUGCAGUACCCACGGACAGCUGACGGCAACCAUCUGGGAGAUGCCAAGCCAGACCUACCUUGAGGCAGAGAUCCCGAGAGCACGCCUCAGUGAAAGUCUCGCAGGGAGAUCUCCAUCAGGGUUUGUGUUCCAGAGAAGUGUAACGAACUACUGGCACCAGGAUUGGCCCAAGGAAGGAGAUUCUUCACCGGGUCACCAGCUGGCCUCCUGUUGGUAAGGAAACCUUCUCUGAGGGGAGGGG
rnacentral:lncRNA from 1 species